UAUUAUUUGGAAUCAUGAGGAACUUCUCAAGCAUAGUUGUCUUUCUCUUUUCCCUUUUCAUUGUUCUCAGUAAGUUCCAUUUUAAUUUACAUAAUCUUUUCAAUUAAAUAAAAACAUAUAGUGACCCUAUGUAGAACAAUUAGUUCAUCAUUUUUAGAACAAUAAAAAAGUAAAAUAUUUAUUAUAGUAUGUCUUGUAAAGUUUGCAGUAUUUUACUAAUUAAAGCAGAAUGACGAUUAGUUUUCAAAUUUAUAGGAUGUUAUUCUAUUCUUUUGUACAUGAUGGAAUGGUCUAACCGAAUUUUUGUUAUGAUGGAUCAUCCUACUAUUGUUUUGACUAUAGGUAAAAAUAAACGAUUAUUAUUAAAAAAAUGAAUAACCUUGAUUUGAUGUAAUCUAAUGAAGUGGUCACAUGAAUAUGUAAAAUUCACCUAUUAACAUUGUGGUCAUUGGUUACAAAUUUUAUUUCUCCUAGCGAAUUAAUUGUUUCUCCUUUCUUUCUUUGUCCAAACAAAUUAAGGCACUAAGCAGACAGGAAUGCAGGUUGAAGGAAAAGAAUGUCGAGUUCCGCUUCCAGGAGCUGUCAAACCUUGUGACCCAACAAAAUGCAACACACAAUGCUUUGAUAAGUACCAAAAUAAGCCUAAUCCUCCUGGUAUUACAGGAAC
rnacentral:lncRNA from 1 species